GAUGAAGAACGUAGCGAAAUGCGAUAAGUAAUGUGAAUUGCAGAAUUCAGUGAAUCAUCGAAUCUUUGAACGCACCUUGCGCCCUUUGGCCAUUCCGAAGGGCAUGCCUGUUUGAGUAUCAUGAACACCUCAACUCUUCAUGGAUUUCCAUGAUGAGCUUGGACUUUGGGGGUCUUGCCGGCCUGUGGUCGGCUCCUCUAAAAUAAAUCAGCUUACCGGUGUUUGGUGGGUAUCAUGGGUGUGAUAACUAUCUACGCUUGUGGUUUUUCCACCAGGUAACCUUCGACAGCGGAGGUUCACUGGAGCUCAUAGAUGUCUCUCCUCAGCGAGGACAGCCCUUUGAAUGUUUGAUCUCAAAUCAGGUAGGACUACCCGCUGAACUUAAGCAUAUCAAUAAGCGGAGGA
rnacentral:misc_RNA from 1 species